UACGAAGGGGGCUAGCGUUGCUCGGAAUCACUGGGCGUAAAGCGCACGUAGGCGGAUUGUUAAGUCAGGGGUGAAAUCCUGGAGCUCAACUCCAGAACUGCCUUUGAUACUGGCGAUCUCGAGUUCGGGAGAGGUGAGUGGAACUGCGAGUGUAGAGGUGAAAUUCGUAGAUAUUCGCAAGAACACCAGUGGCGAAGGCGGCUCACUGGCCCGGUACUGACGCUGAGGUGCGAAAGCGUGGGGAGCAAGCAGG
rnacentral:rRNA from 1 species